rnacentral:rRNA from 1 species
AUACGUAGGUGGCGAGCGUUAUCCGGAUUUAUUGGGUGUAAAGGGUGAGUAGGCGGGAAUACAAGUCAGAUGUGAAAUGCAAAGGCUUAACCUUUGAAUUGCAUUUGAAACUGUGUUUCUUGAGAGUCGGAGAGGUAAUCGGAAUUCCUAGUGUAGCGGUGAAAUGCGUAGAUAUUAGGAGGAACACCAGUGGCGAAGGCGGAUUACUGGACGAUAACUGACGCUGAGACACGAAAGCGUGGGGAGC